rnacentral:rRNA from 1 species
UUGGAGGGCAAGUCUGGUGCCAGCAGCCGCGGUAAUUCCAGCUCCAAUAGCGUAUAUUAAAGUUGUUGCAGUUAAAAAGCUCGUAGUUGAAUUUCGGGAUCAAUAUAUCGGUCGUGCCAUCGGUACGUACUGGUAUGAUUGGUUUCUCCUUUCCGACGAACCAUGAUGUCAUUAAUUUGGUGUUAUGGGAAGUUAGGACUGUUACUUUGAAAAAAUUAGAGUGUUUAAAGCAGGCUUUAGCUUGAAUACAUUAGCAUGGAAUAAUGAAAUAGGACGUUCGAACCUAUUUUGUUGGUUUCUAGGAUCAACGUAAUGAUUAAUAGGGAUAGUUGGGGGCAUUAGUAUUCAAUUGUCAGAGGUGAAAUUCUUGGAUUUAUUGAAGACUAACUACUGCGAAAGCAUUUGCCAAGGAUGUUUUCAUUAAUCAAGAACGAAAGUUAGGGGAUCGAAGACGAUCAGAUACCGUCGUAGUCUUAACCAUAAACUAUACCGACUAGGGAUCGGAUGAUGUUAAUUUUUUAAUGACUCAUUCGGCGCCUUACGGGAAAC